rnacentral:tRNA from 1 species
GGAUGUAUAGCUCAGUGGUGGAGCAGCUGCCUAGCAUGUAAAAGACCCUGGGUUUGAUUCUCAGUACCACCA